UGUCGUCAAUGACGACCACCAAUGCUCCUGUAGCCUGUGAGGAGCGCCUUCGGGUGGCUACUGUCGCGAAAGCGACCACCAAUGUUCCGCGCAGUCUGUGAGGAACGCCUUCGGGUGACUGCAAAAGAAUUCUCCCGCAGCCUGAAAGGGAGAGCAUAUUGAAUGCGGUACAUC
rfam:Edwardsiella ictaluri 93-146, complete genome.